GCCGAAGUGGCGGAAUGGUAGACGCGAUGGUCUCAAAAACCAUUGGGGGGUAACCCCCGUGCCGGUUCGACUCCGGCCUUCGGCACCA
rnacentral:tRNA from 1 species